rnacentral:lncRNA from 1 species
AGCUGGUGGAGGUCGGGGUGCAGGCGGGGUCACCUCAAGGGUCAAGGUUAAACCUUAGGUCCCUCCAGAGCUCCCUAAAGGAUCAUGGGUCGGACACUAAUCUGGGGUCUCCCCCUCGGUCCAACUCCAUCAUGGGCUACAACACUUAUCUAGGUUCACAGUCCAUCUUGGGGUCCCCUCCGGGGUCAAGGUUGAACCUGAGGUCAUCACUAGGCUCCCACUCCAACCUGGUGUCGCCCUCUUCCAGUAUGUUCCCUCUGGACAGCCCCAGAGAGGGGUGGGAAGAGGAGAUAGAGUGGGAGGACAGCAGCUCUGCCCCACCGGGGGAGAUGGGGAGGAGGAGGUCCUGUCUGAAGGUGGUGGUACAGGAGGAGGACAGGAGGAGAAGUGGAGAGUGGGAUCACAGCAAGAGGAGGAGUAGUAUGAAGCAGGUGCAGUGGGAUGAAGACGGGAUGACCUGGGAUGUUUACGGAGCCUCUCUGGACCCCGAGGAACUCAGCUCGGCCAUACAGAAACACCUGCAGCUCAAGACCAGGACAGACAACACAAACACAGAAACCACUCCCAAAACCAAACCGAAGACAAAAAGCAAAUCAAGGGUUAAGAUCAUUUCUAAAACCAAGAACAAAACCCCUCUCAUGGAAACCGCUACCCCGUCAACCCCUGUUAUGACAACCAAGGGCAAGACCGCUUCCAUGGAAACUGCUACCCUGUCAACCCCUGUUAUGACAACCAAGGGCAAGACCGCUUCCAUGGAAACCGUUACCCCGUCAACCCCUGUUAUGACAACCAAGGGCAAGACCGCUUCCAUGGAAACAGCUACCCUUUCAACCCCUGUCACUACCAAAAGAAAGACCACUGCCAUGGCAACUUCCCCAAUGGCAUUAUCGAUUAAUACCGUGGCGACUGCUGCCAUAGAGACUGAGGCUGACACCAAAGGAGAGGGAGUCAGAGAGGGAGAAAAAGAGGGAGAAGGAUAUGGAGAUAGAAAGGGAGGAGAGGUAGAGGGAGAGAGAGGACAGAGACAGAGAGAACCAGAGGGAGGGGUAAAGAUAGAGAGGGAGGAAGAAGGAAAGUUAGAGGGAGAUAGCGAGGGAGGAGUAGAUGGAAAGGGAAAGGGAGGAGGACAGAGGGAGGGAGGACUGAAGGGGGAAGAGACAGAGGAAAAGGGGACACCGGGGCUGUCUCGUAAGUCGUCAUACCGUGAGAGUGGGCAGAGCAGGAAGAAGAGUGGAGGAGUGAUGAAGUCACUGAAGCGAUGUGUUCGCUCCUCAAACCCCAAUGAAUGACACUGGAAGAACACUGAGAAGGUGGACAUGAUCACGUUAUUAGACUAACCAAUGACUGUAUGGGACUAACACUGGAGGUUGGCGGGGUGCAGUCUAAAGGGCAAAAGAGGCAUCUGAAUAACCCUAACACUGGACUCCCUACUGCUGUGUUGUUGUUUUUGACUACUUUAUAUACAUUUUAUAUAUGUUAGUAUUCAAAUAUAUCUGCCAGUAGGUGAAAAAUAUGUUGGGUUGGAAAGGAUACUACCCCAGUUCAGGUUUGCAAUAACAUCUACAGUUGAAGUCGGAAGUUUACAUACACCUUAGCCAAAUACAUUUAAACUCCGUUUUUCAUCAUUCCUGACAUUUAAUCCUAGUAAAAAGUCCCUCUCUUAGGUCAGUUAGGGUCACCACUUUAUUUUAAGAAUGUGAAAUGUCAGAAUAAUAGUAGAGAGAAUGAUUUAUUUAAGAUCUUAUUUCUUUCAUCACAUUCCCAUUGGGUCAGAAGUUUACAUACACUCAAUUAGUAUUUGGUAGCAUUGCCUUUAAAUUGUUUCACUUGGGUGAAACGUUUCGGGUAGCCUUCCACAAGCUUCCAAAAUAAGUUGGGUGAAUUUUGGCCCAUUCCUCCUGACUGAGCUGGUGUAACCG